GUGCCAGCGCCGCGGUAAUACGGAGGAUCCAAGCGUUAUCCGGAAUCAUUGGGUUUAAAGGGUCCGUAGGCGGUUUUAUAAGUCAGUGGUGAAAUCCGGCAGCUCAACUGUCGAACUGCCAUUGAUACUGUAGAACUUGAAUUAUUGUGAAGUAACUAGAAUAUGUAGUGUAGCGGUGAAAUGCUUAGAGAUUACAUGGAAUACCAAUUGCGAAGGCAGGUUACUAACAAUACAUUGACGCUGAUGGACGAAAGCGUGGGUAGCGAACAGGAUUAGAUACCCUAGUAGUCC
rnacentral:rRNA from 1 species